GGGGACCUUCGGGCCUCUUGCCAUCGGAUGUGCCCAGAUGGGAUUAGCUAGUAGGUGGGGUAAAGGCUCACCUAGGCGACGAUCCCUAGCUGGUCUGAGAGGAUGACCAGCCACACUGGAACUGAGACACGGUCCAGACUCCUACGGGAGGCAGCAGUGGGGAAUAUUGCACAAUGGGCGCAAGCCUGAUGCAGCCAUGCCGCGUGUAUGAAGAAGGCCUUCGGGUUGUA
rnacentral:rRNA from 1 species